rnacentral:lncRNA from 1 species
CACACAUGCAAAGGUCCCUUCGGGCUCUUUUUUUUUGUUUUCCCCUUUGAAAUUUCAAAUUCCAGUUUGUGGACAAAGUCCUGCCUAUCUGAGAAUAUAGAUCUCCGACCACUGACCAAACUCCACUCCAAGCAGUCCUGAGGGCUGCUCUUCCCCUUGCCCACGGAUACCUCUGCUCAGUCCCUGGGUCUGCCAGGAUCUCACCACAACUUUUGCACCUGAGCAAAGCGCUCGUACUCGUACAAAGUGGAUUUUGCGCGUUUCAACCUUAACGUCAGCAGCUCCCUUUCUGCAUGCGGAAUGGGAAGGACCAUCGGGAAGAACCAGGGAUCUCAGGAAACCACGUCUGGACCUGGAGAGAAUGUGUUUAGCAAGUGGAUGUGAUCCCUUUGGAAAUGAAGUAAUCUUGCAGCUUCCCAGGAAAAAGAUCCCUACUGAGCAGUCUGGCAGGAGCGAGCAAAGUGCCUGAAUAGUCUGUCUUGUCCCCUGCGCUCUCAAUUGCCAGUGCACAGCAAGUGCCAGGGGAGUAAAGUGGAAGCAGAACAGUCCUCAGGAGCUCCACAUCCACAGCAGCUUUGUAGCCCUGCAGCCCCCGGCCACCACAGCACUCUCCUGCGCAACACAACCCUCCCAUCCACUGCCGCAGAAAAAAAACCACCGCAGAAAGCAAGGUGCCAAGCAAUGAAUCGAAUGCUUGGAGGUCAUUGCAAUGUGGCCUGGUGCUGCCCGGCCGUGGCCCUGACCAUGCCAGGAGCAAGCGUCGCCUCGUCAGCCUUCACACCCAGAGGGACCAGCUCAGAGCCAAGCCAAUCUGAAACACCCAUUUUCCUGCACUUCCCUUCCUCCUCGGAUGACUUUUCUCCCACCGAGACCACCUCUCCUUUUACUGUGCCAAGGAGGAGACAGCUUCUUCCUGCCCUCCAAAGAUGCUGGAACACAAGUGCCACCUCAAAGGUACGACUCUAAUGGUGGAAAAACAUUCCCAAACCAUUCCUGCCCUGUCUGUGUGAGCCUCCAGUCACACCUGGGGCUGCCUGGAGUGAAUUCAAAUUAAUUUGGGGAUCAUGCAGCUGCCAUCAGCUUCCUGAUGGGUCAGGGAUGGGGCAUGACUGGCAGGUCUGUACCCCUCUGUGCCCGGGAAUGGAGUGUGCUGGUGAUGAGGGAGAUGCCCAGCACGGAUCAGGGAGGAGCAUCAAGGCAGGGCUGGGUCUGAACUGUGCAUAACCCCAUGACAUCUCCCUUCACCCCUGUGUUUUAACACCUGUAACAGGGAAACACACCCAGGUGAGCAGAGAGCUCUCCCAGGUGGUGGCAGCAGCACACACGCAUGGAUGGAGCUGUGGGCAGCACCCGGCUCUGCUCCCACCAGGGUGUCCAUGUGGUGGCAAAGCCACCACCUCCAUCCCACCACCCUUUAGUCCUCAAAGGCAGCAAACUCCAGACAGGGGAGCAGUCAGGGCUGUAGAUCUGAAGCCUGGCUGUUUGCCCCUCCUGCCUCAUUAUUCCUUGGACAACAUUAGCACUGGUGAAUCUCUUCCCAGGCUGGGCUGCUGCUUUUCACUGGGGGUGGUGGGGUGGAUCCUGCCAUCCCAACAGACAUGACAGGGUGGGAUGUGGGACUUGCCCAGUUGGCUGGAAGCCAUGGGCAUGCUGGCAUGAUGGAGAUGAGAAGCAGCAGCUUCUUAUCUUGAGGUGUCAAGGCUUUGGGGACCGUGCGGCACAAUGACAAGCCUACCCUGGGAGCAGAGGGGGAGAGAAGAGGCUGAGCGGGGCGGGAGGAGCCAGGCUCUGCAGCCUCCAUCAACAGCACUGGGCCAUAAACUCGGUGCAGUGGCUGUCGUUUAUGUGUCAGCAAACACGUUGAGUGGGCUCGACUAUUGAUUCUGACCGUAUAAAAGAGUGUUGUGGCACUUGUUCAGGUUUGCGCAGGUUUUACAGCUCUUGUUCUGAGAAGUGCCCAUGUAUUUGGCUUUGCUCCUUCCUUCAGGUCUAUCUGUUGACAUUGGCUCUCCUACCCAGAGCGUUGGGCCAUGCCAGGAAGCUGAGUGUACGGCUCUCCCUGCAUUUCCCACUUUCCCAGGGGUUAUCGCCUAUAAAAUCUUGCACACACCCAUGGCUGGGACAUGUUUCUGGUGCAGAGGCAGGUGAAAGGUGCCCGUUGGUCCCAUGCUGGUGGGUUUGGGUGCCACACACUUGGUGGCAGGAGCUGAGCCACCCAUCUUGAUGGGUGAUUUUAGAGUAAAUGGGCAGACCUGUGGGGAGGCGCUGCCCUGGGGUGGGAUGAGCAAGGUGAGAGAUCUGUAGGGCUGCGAAGAAAAUUGGCACGUCAAACCAGCUUGGGUGUCCAGUGAGGGAAAAGGUGUCAGAGCUCCCAUAGCAUCACCACAGGGGACAUGGCCCACGCAUGGUGACCCACAGCAUGAGGCCCACAGUAUUCCCAUUCCCACCUUCACUCUUCCCACCAGAAGAUGCCAGCACUGGCUGAGCCCGCAGGGACACCUUGGUGCUGGGAGGGCUUGAGCCCAUGGUGUUGGCCCCAUCCGCCCCUUGGCACUGGGGCUCCUGGUGCCGCAGGGCUAGAGAUGACGUCCCUCCAGUGGCU